UUUGUAGUUGUUCUUUAAGGUAUUUUCCUAUCUGCUCGAGAAGAUGGCCUCUGUUCCCGUUCUGGUGGUUGAGAAAUGGCGUUUCGAGUGAGGGGAAGAGCGGGAUUAGUAGGAGGGCGGAUGGCAGGCAAGUUUUGAUCUCUUUUAUUUCCCUGGUUAUUAUCUUCUCCCUCUCUCUCUCUCUCUCGCCCACAGCCAUCCACCCACCCACCAUCUCGUUCACGUUUCUCAAGGAUGGUUUGAGAGGAAAGAAUGGGAUAGAUGAUUGAAUCCUUCCUCGCCACAGAACAGUCAUCUCAUCUUGUCUGUCGCUACGUACGUCACAAGAAGAAUAAUCCCAUCCUCACCCACAGUAGUCCUCUCAUUUUCACCCUCUUUAAUUUGGUAGUAAAUUUGCCCUCCCCCUCUCUCUUUCUCUCUCCGUGUAUAAAUACCAUCUAUAUCUAUCCUCCUCUCUCGGUGAGAAGUAUCAUCUGCUUGAGGCAGUGGCAUGUGAUCUACUCUGUGUCAUGUGGGCUUAUCAAAGGGUUGCUCGCAGAGGUGAUUGGCAUUCUGUCCACCUCCAGCCACAUCCAUCUCUCAUGAACAAGGAGAAGCAUACGGAUGGAGGUGGGCAUCCUGCCAACUGAACUCUGCUAGCUUCUCUUUGUAAAACCCAUGUGACAUAUCUUUCUUGCAACCGAGCACUUGGAUCCUUCUCAUAGAAGUACACAAAACAUGCACUGGAAGCAUGAAGGAAGGUCUUCCCUUCUUGGAUGCUAUCGUAUGUCAUCGUUGGAUGUUGGAAUUACAUGGGCUGUUUCGAUUUGCCUCCGCGCUCCAGGAAUGAUUACACACGGGAUCUUCUAGCUUUGCUUGGUUUUGCUUGUUUCCUCUCUCAGCCAUUCCUGUUGAUGCUUUACUGGUAUUCGUGUGCUAAUAUUUCAGAAGCGUUCCAAUCUCAGAUCUGAUGUAGGGCGAGAGUGGGAACGAGAGAUAGGAAGAAGACACAAGACUAUCUCAUUGUGAACCCUAAUUCCUUUCUAUUUUCUCUCUCAUGAAAAAUAUUUCUUUUUUUUCCCUAUCCAUUUUCUCUCACUGAUUUUUUUGGGGUUCUUUUUUACUCGAAAAAGGGGAACAAAAUCAUUCUUCGAUCUUCUUUCUUGCACCACCUUUUGCCAUCAUAGUGAAUUGAACUGUCUCAGGAAUGCUGAGAUCUUUUCCAGAAAUCUUAUGUUCAUGAUCUAUUCUUGAAGUUUCAGAAAUGUGUUGCAGAUAUUUAAUUUCGUUUUGUUUUUAGCUAUUUGUUUCUCGUUGCAAUCGCAGAUUAAAACUAAUUAAAAAUGUAACAAAAUCACGAACAUAAGAUCUUGUUUGUUUCUAUUUCUUGGUUUCAUUGCAGGAUUUCAGUAAAAUGUAGGAUCAUCACCACUGUUAGGGUUCUAUCAUCUUUCACCCAUGCUAGAGAGAAACGAAUGCUUGACAAUGAUAAAGGUUUGUUCUUUCUUUUUUCUGUCUAAUAGUCGAAGAUUAUCCUUAAAGAACGAGGAGUACAUGUACUCGAACAUCGUCUUCCUUAUAGUUAUGUUUUGAUUUGGGUUUUGGAUGAACUAUUUUGUGCAAUUAAAGCUCCAUGCAUAUGCAUAUAUGUCCCUAUUCAUCAUUAGGCUGGUUGAGAUAAAAGAUAGCAUGUGAUUUAUAUUCUUAUUUUUGUUUCAGAAAAUACAACUUGCCGUGAAAACACACCACAUUUCUUCCUAUUUGGAAAACAGAAACAGCAAGCUCUUCAAUUUCAAAAUGACAAGUGCAUAUCAUCAUAUCAUAUCAUAUAUAUGCGCAUCACUCAAUUAUUUUGGCUUAUAUGUUUCAUUUUCCUUAGAAACCUCAAAUGUAAAUGCAAUCAAUAUAUUCCAGUCUUUUCUUAUCUUCUUGUUGAACUUGUGAUUCCGAAAACAACAUACAUGCAUUAGAUGCUUGAUGUUAAGAUUCAACCCGGGAGAAGGUGCUGUUCUCAUGAGCAUUAAUGGGUCAAGAGGAAGAGGAAGGCUUGAACAGCUGUAGGACGUUUGAUCUUUACCAUUUGGCAGUGGAGGGGCAUUGAGAUCAUCAUUCUCUUGUGCUAGCAUAGUAAUCUCUCUUGAAGUUGUCACCUAAUAAUGAGCUGCUUGAACCGUUCUUGAUCCAUAUUAAGUGGUCAAUGUUGCCAGGAGCCUGGGGAGCUCAGAAGGCAUUCAUUGUUUCAGCCUGCAGCAGCUGCUGAAAGUGAGUUCCAACAUGCUUUUGGUGGUGGAAUAAUUGCUCAUAGUUGUCUCUUUGCACAGAAGAUGCAUCAACCUUCUCUUUCCUACCUUCUUCCCUUAUGAGUUGCAUCCUGUUGGACCACAAAAACUUAUCACAUCAGACAAUACAAUUCUUUUCAGUAUACUCAUCAGAAAAUAAUGCUUUCAGGUUGAUCUGAAGAUGUGGUGUGUCAUCUCAAACUGGUAAUCCCUCAUAUGCUCCCCUUAUUAGACAGCUUGCCAUUUGCAGCAUUCUCACCCAAAAUAUGAUAUGAGCCACUGACAAAUGUAAUGAGUUAAUUGUGUUGGAAUUGUUGCUUUUCGCAAAUGGGUAUAAGAUUCAUGGCCAUCAUA